rnacentral:lncRNA from 1 species
GAGGAAUUAGCUACAAGCUAGGAGGAGCUUUACAAUGAGAGUAAGCUAAAAGAUAGGGGAGCCUCAUAUUCAAGGAAUUUGACUAAUUAUUUACUUUUCAUUAUCAAAAAAUGAGAGAUUCUUAGCCUCUCAUAUUCACUUAAUAUUUUAAUAAUGACAAACUAACAAAAUAAACAUACAGGUCCGAAUCUGGAAGAUAAUCAAAUUUGAAAGAUCUCAAGAUUAAAUACAAUCUAUGGAGAUCAUGGGCACUUAUGGAAAGAAUCCAAUCAGGCAUGGUAAAGAUCCCAAAAUAUGGAACCAGGAGAUGUAUAUAGAAGGAGCAAAUUUUGAUGAAUAAUCAAAGGAGAAAUUAGCAUCACGGCGGGAUGCCAGGACAUUCAAAUAAGGAAAUGGAUCAUACCAAUUACAUAGAUAUAUCAGAUAUGGACAUGGAUGGAUAUGACUCCUCGCUGCACCAAAGAGAAUAGCAUACCCUAAUACAUAGAUAUAUUUGAUAUGGACAUGUUAACUGUAUAAGCCCUCAAUUAAGGAAUCCAAUUAAAUCCUUGAUUGAGAAGAAAUCUCUUAGGUUUUACUUUUAGAACAAAUAAGUUGUAGAAGAUGAAGACUAUAUAAUGAUGAUAUAAGACAGAAGACAACUCAUGAACUUCACAUGAAACUAUCCAUCUAUCUCAUCUUUUAGUCUUCCAAAAGCUUUGUAAUUCUAAAUUUACAAUAGUUAAAAUAAAGAAAAAGAUAGAGUUAGUUUAGUUAUACCAGUCGAGGCUAUGUCAUAAGAUUUUAAUAACAGAUCAAGAUUUAAAAAUUGUUCAAACUACUAUAACUUUAUUCUUAAGUUGAACCUCUAAAGGAAAUCCUUGAAACCCAAGGAAACUGGUGCAGGCACCAAAACUAGUGAUCCAAACCAGUCUAAAUCUCUAUGUUCUUUCUUACUCUUUUAUUUACACUUUGAAUUUUAUUCUAUU